rnacentral:rRNA from 1 species
UACGUAGGGGGGCAAGCGUUGUCCGGAAUCAUUGGGCGUAAAGAGCGUGUAGGCGGCCCGGUAAGUCCGCUGUGAAAGUCCAGGGCUCAACCCUGGAAUGCCGGUGGAUACUGUCGAGCUCGAGUCCGGAAGAGGCGAGUGGAAUUCCUGGUGUAGCGGUGAAAUGCGCAGAUAUCAGGAGGAACACCAAUGGCGAAGGCAGCUCGCUGGGACGGUACUGACGCUGAGACGCGAAAGCGUGGGGAGCAAACAGG